rnacentral:lncRNA from 1 species
AGACCGCCUGGCCUUGGGUGGAUCGGGUCUCUGGGCAGAGCGUGUGUCCGGCAGAGCUAGGACCGGAAAAAGCCACUCUAGGUCUAGGUUAGGAGUGAUGACAGUUAAAAGAUAUAUAAGGAAAAGAAGGAAAGGAUCGUUUCUGUAUAAAACGAGCUAUUUUUGCAUAUCGAGCGCAUAAGUUUUAUAACUUAGGUGUCUGUUUAUGGAGAGGGUGGGAUACUACCUUUUAGCUCAAGGAGUGCACAAAACGGUAUCAUGAAUUCUGCUCUUUUGAUUCAAACACCCAACUUUGAAGAAUCGCUCAUGGUGCUUGUAAAACACGUAUCCCCAGAUCCCUCCCUAGACCUAUCGAACAACUCCAACGGUCUCGGGAAUGUGCGUGGUUUCUGAAAAGCUUGGGAAGCAAGACCUGACUAGACCCCCAAAUCUGAUAUUGGCUGAAUGGCCGACCAAUGGAGUGCAUAAGAAGGUAAGUUGUCAUGUGGCACUCUCAUCACAUUUUCAGGGUAGAGGACUUUCUGAAAUACAGAGGAGGUGUAAGGGGAACUAAGAAAACACUUGAUUACAGCACAUGGUAGCUGGCACAUAGGAAGGUCCUUACUGUUGGCUGAGCCUUGUUCUUUCCCAACAUUGAGACAUCGAGAGCAGCCCAAGCAGCAAAAAGAUUACGAAGACAGCUUGAGCCAGGGUCUUUAGACUACACAGCUUCUGCUUUUUCCCCUCUGUGAAGGAUGCCUAGGGACUGUGCUGGCAGCCCAGCUCCAGCCCUUGAUCCUGAACUUCUGCCUUCCUGGAACUUGCAAACUGAAUGUGAAUAUUCAGUUGCAUGUUGCAUGUUUCCUUCCGGGGCUACUUUAUUGCAAAUUUUAACUUAAAUUUGACCUGGUUAACUGCAGGCCACAUUGAGGACAGCUUCUGUCUUGAUGUUAGAGAAAAACUCUUAUAAAAAUAAAUCUUUUAAUAACCAGAGAAAACCAUCCAACUCCUGAAAGAUGCUUUUCAUAGUAAAACUGAUGGUUUUCAAAACACUUUGACAUGUGUGCUUAUUUAAUCUUCAUAGAAAACUGUAAAGCUUAUUCCACAAGCCAUAAUGGAAGAAAUCAGGUUGGGGGCUCAAUUCUCAGAGCCUGUUGGCUCUAGGCAGAAAGGGAGUUACUACACUUUAGGGCAAUUUGCACUUCAAAUAGCUGGCCCUUGAGCAGACAGGUCCCUCUGCUCUUUCCAAGCCACCCAAAAGCAAUAGUUUUGACAUUAGUGCCCUGCAAGGCAUAGCCUAGGCAUUAGGGUCUAGGUUCAGAAAGUGUUUCCUUCUGGAAUGAAACUGAAAUGAAAGAAAUGGGUUAUUUUGUGCUAGUCCUUUCGAUUAGGACUCUCCUUAAGCUAAAUGUACUGAUAAGAUUGGGACAACACCCAUACCCAAUCAGAAAACUCCAGUCUUGAAAAUCAACUCUUUAAGAUAAACAGUUUGAUUUGUGACAGGUUUUCCGGUAAUCUCACAAGCGCAUCAGGGACUGAUAAAAAAGGAAAGGAGGCACUUUUUCAGUGUAAAAAUGGCUUUACUCUGGGGAAUGCAAAGAGAUGACAACUAAGAACUCACAUUCAGAAGUCAGGUGUUCAAAUCGUAGCUCUGCCCUAAGAGUGACCUUGGGAAGUUACUUUUCUAGGACUUGUUUCCUCAUCCAUAAAAUGGGUGAGUGAUGAGGACAAUGUUUAUCACAGUUGUGAUUACAUCAUAUAUAUAUAUAAAGUACUUACAACCGUGCUACAUAGUGAGACCUAUUAAUACUUUUCAACUCUGAAACUUUUAAAACUAGCACCCGGCUGGGCGUGGUGGCUCACACCUGUAAUCCCAGAACUUUGGGAGGCCAAGGCAGGCAGAUCACUUAAGGUCCGGAGUUCAAGACCAACCUGGCCAAAAUGAUGAAACCCCAUCUCUACUAAAAAUACAACUACCCGGGCGUGGUGGUGGGCGUCUGUAAUCCCAGAUACUCAGGAGGCUGAGGCACGAGAAUCACUUGAAUCCAGGAGGCAGAGGUUGCAGUGAGCUGAGAUAGCGCCACCACACUCCAUUCUGGGCAAGAGAGUGAGACUGCGUCUCAAAAAAAAAAAAGUAUUUCAAAAGCAGAGGUUUUGCAAAGCUGAAGGCCUAAAAAAAAGUAUAUAAUUACAGUUCAAACUUAUUUGAUGGGCACAAAUCCAAGUUUGUCAACAUGCUCUGUUAGCAAGAUACAGGAUACUCGAGAGGCUGAGGCAGGAAGAUCCCCUGAGCCAGUAGUUUGAAGCUGCGUUUCCUAUGAUCGUGGCUGUAAAUAGCCAAUGCAAUUACCUGGGUAACAGUGAGACUUCAUCUCUUUUUUAAAAAGGCAUAGGGGACUGGGACUGGUAAAAACAAAAACUAGUACUUCCCGUGUGAAGGGUCAUUUGGCAAUUCCUAGUGUCAGAAAAAAAUUACAACAAAUUUACUUACAGAUCUAACUGGCGUUUAUUCAUAACUUAUGAAUGGGGCAGCCUCCAUUCUACAAAACAGAAUGAAAGCUCCCAAUGAGAAACAGCAGAAUAGUGGGUUUUGUAAGAUGAGAGCAAGGAAACAAAACAAUGAAAAAUAACUGAUUGGUUAACAUCGGGUUACUUUUUUUUUAAGGGUUAAAGAAGAAGGGACUUCCUUAUUAUUCUGAUUCAGACAGACUGGGAUUUUCUGUUUUCAGGAAAAACUGGUCUGUAAAGUUUCCAUGUAACUGUGUGGCACUUAAUAUAUGUAACUACUUUGGUCUGCUAGGACCUAGUGCAGAAACUCAGUCCACAAACAAUGACCCCCCAUAAUUUUGGUUUAACGUUAGCACAAGUCGCCAGGCGCGGUGGCUCACGCCGGUAAUCCCAGCACUUUGGGAGGCUGAGGCGGGUGGAUCACUUGAGGUCAGAGUUCAAGACUAGCCUGGCCAACAUGGUGAAACCCCAUCUGCACUAAAACUACAAAAAUCAGCUUGGCAUAGUGGCACAUGCCCGUAGUCCCAGCUACUUGGGAGGCUGAGGUAGGAGAAUUGCUUGAACCCAGGAGGCGGACGUUGCAGUGAGUCGAGAUUGCGCCACUGAACUCCAGCCUGAUGACAGAGCAAGACUAUCUCAAAAAGGAAGAAAAGAUAGUGAGAUUCCCUUCUAGCAGUUCUAACACCAAACCACUGAAACAAAUAUAUGAACUAUACAUCAAAAAUAUUCAUCAUGCACAUGCCCAUACCAUGCUCUAGCCUUUAGGUUACUGAUGCUUCCAGAGAAUAUAGGAAUUCUAUAAAUCCUUAACCCUUCUUUGAAUGAGGGCUAGCGCUUAUAAAUUAGCUAAUAGUAUGACAAAUAAGAGCAAUUUGAAUUUUUCUUACAGAAUAAAAUAUACAAAUGGAAGAGUUAUCUAAUUCACCUAUUGGGUAGUAGAUAGAAAUGGUGAAUUCUCUUAAGCCACAGAAACAAGCUAGCACAUUGUGUGAUACACAUUGUACAACACUGAGGGUAAGUCACAAUUGUAGAUAAGAAUUGGUUAAGGGAGAUGCUAUAAUUAGCAAGUGGUUAAUGUUCUACUUCCCAAGUCCAAAAGGGGAUACAAUGGUUUUGUUGGUCCUCCAGCCCCUUUACUUUUAAGAGUAGUAUUUUCUAACCAUUCCAGGUUUCUCCAAAGCUCUGGAUAAAUUCUAGCAGAACCUAGCUGGCCGGGCAUGGUGGCUCAUACCUGUAAUCCCAGCACUCUGGGAAGCUGAGGUGGGCGGAUCACAAGGUCAGGAGAUCGAGACCAUGGUGAAACCCCGUCCCUACUAAAAAUAUUAAAAAAUUAGCCAGGCGUGGCGGCGGGCGCCUACAGUCCCAGCUACUCGGGAGGCUGAGGCAGGAGAAUGGCGGGAACCCGAGAGGCGGAGCUUGCAGUGAGCUGAGAUGGCGCCACUGCACUCCAGCCUGGGCAACAGAGUGAGACUCCAUCUCAAAACAAACAAACAAAAAAACCCCCAAAAACCCAGCAACACAGCAGUUAUAAAGGAUUAAACCUUAGCUCUAAACCACCUACCCUCAAAUUGGUAGUAGGUAUAUACACUUUUCUGGAGUGCAUACCAAACAUUUUCUGCAGUCUGGGGAAAAUGUUCUAAAAUUUGUAAAUGCCUUUCAAAAUAUAAGCCGGUAUAUUUACAGAAUUUCCUUCAAACAAAAUAAAUUUACUGUAUCAUUCUGUAAAAUGUCUGCAAUCUCCAGCUUUUGUGCUAAAAUUUAAAGUUGUAACAUGUAAAUAUUUCUGUAUUUUUGAAUUACCUUCUAUUGAAGGAACAUGUAAUAUUAACAUAUUCACUAGGCCAAAUCGGUGUUUUUGUAUCUCUUUUUAACCACCAAGCAAAUUUCUAGGCUGCUAGAAUCAGCCUGUCAGUGGCAGAAGUUAUGGUUAGAAAUCCUCUCCUGUUCAUUUUAUAGAUGGGAAAACUUAAGGAGCCAUGAGGGGGUUCUGCAACUCACCAGUCACACAGUCAGUUAAUGGCCAAGGAAAGAACCCAUUCUCCCAAAUGCCAACCCAGUACUCUCCACAGAAUUAAGCUAUAUUAGCAUCGUAAGCUAACAACUCUUUUCCUACAUCCCUACUGUAAGCCCCAGUAAAAUGAAGCUAAAGUAUCUUUUCCCCCUCCUGAUUAUUGGGAAAUCUGCAUUACCUAAAUGCCAGAUGCCUUGGGAUUUCAAAAUAGAAUUAUCUUACUGAAGAGAGGGCUGGUUAAUAGAAUGGAAUAAUAAAUGACUACUGCUGUGGCUUAGAUUUUUAAGAGAGUCCUAUUGCAGUCUGUCUACCAUGACAAUGACCUGCUUUGGUUUCCCUAAGAACACCCAAGAGGAGCAAUGACAAAAGUACACAUUUUUAUUAAUAGCUGAAUUUUAAACAGCCAAUGUGUGGAGGUUAUUUACUAACCAACAGGAAACACCUGCAGCAGGCUGCAUACUUAUAGAGCAGCAAACUUAAGGGAAGUCUGUAAGGCUUUACUGUCUUCCUUUUCAAGUCUCUUCACUGCUAUGCACAGUUGAGGGCAUAACCUUAAAAGUCUGUAACAUAACAAAAACAUUUUAAACAUCAAACAUCGUGCUUUCCCCACUGUGGCACAUUUUUAGAGUAAAGCAUUUGGCCAACUGGAUGUUACAGCAUGAUGCCCACUACAUUAUGUUUAAGCUUCCAUUCCAGUUCUGAACCCACCAGACCCUUGGAGCAGCUGGAAUUACCAAAUCAACAGGGUAUCAGUGUAACUCAAUCCUACAUGGAGCAAACAGACAAAGCAGUUAGUUCCUCAAACACCCAAUUUACUUGACAGAAUCAAAGACCAACUUUAUAAGUUUAGAAGUUUUUAAAAGCAGAUACACAUUUAGAAUUAAGCUAAAUGUAUAUCCUCCGUGUUCCCCCAUCCUCACCCUCAACUCUCACACACUCACCCCCUUGGUAGGAGAAUGGUGAGAAGUGGAUGAAACUUGAUGCUUGACUACAUGGCUCCAGUAAUGCAGUGAAAAGACAAAAACACAUCAACGUGACGUUCCAGGGAAAUAAACGCGAAAUCAUGCAUCCAACUGGCCACUAAGGGUUGGCUGUACAGAAUUGUAGUAUGCGUAUGGAGAAAAUGCUAACUGAACCUUUCUAAACAAAUAAAAAUAUACACAAUUAUUUUUCCAAUAGCUCAAGUAUUGACUUAUUUUAUGGGCAGAUGAUACCAAACUAGCAAAAAGCUUUAUGCUAAAAAUGUGCCUUUGUGGGAAAACCAGCAUGUUCGGUACUUAAAAUAUUUCCAUUCUGAACUGAAGUCAGUGAAUAGGCAUGUCUUGCAACUUCAUUUGCUUAGCAGGGUCUUGGUUUGAUUUGUAAAAACUGGGACAUAAAAUGUUUUACUAGCACUUGCCACUUAAAGUCCUAAAUUUGGUGUAUUGUGACCGUUGACAAGUAGUAGCAUUUCCCCCGCCCCCAAAAAAUCACAAUAUCAAUUCUGUGGAUAUUUUAAAAGUUUAUUUCUAUUUUAACUAGCCCACAGACCCCAUUCUUUGAGGGCUGAUCUGAUUUCUG